GACGAACGCUGGCGGCGUGCCUAACACAUGCAAGUCGAACGGAGCUUAUUUAUUCGAUCCCUUCGGGGUGACGAUUUUUAAGCUUAGUGGCGGACGGGUGAGUAACGCGUGAGUAACCUGCCUUACAGAGGGGGACAACAGUUGGAAACGACUGCUAAUACCGCAUGACAUAUUUUGAGGGCAUCCUCGGAAUAUCAAAGGAGCAAUCCGCUGUAAGAUGGACUCGCGUCCAAUUAGAUAGUUGGUGGGGUAACGGCCCGACCAAGUCGACGAUUGGUAGCCGGACUGAGAGGUUGAACGGCCACAUUGGGACUGAGACACGGCCCAGACUCCUACGGGAGGCAGCAGUGGGGGAUAUUGCACAAUGGAGGAAACUCUGACCCAGCAACGCCGCGUGAAGGAAGAAGGCC
rnacentral:rRNA from 1 species